UGGAGUUGUAACCAAUAGCGGUUCUUUUUCAACGUACAUGUGGACUGGUGUGCAGCAGCAUAUUAUGAUCGCGGCUAUAUAUACAGUUUUCUAUUAUUCUCUUUAUAAAGGAAUGGUUUGCACUGAGCUGAUCUCAUUUUUGCUAAAAACAGAGGUAGCCAGGUCUAAAGGAAGGGUUGCACUCACAACAAACAUGGUCCUUGGUGGCACUGUG
rnacentral:misc_RNA from 1 species